UACGUAGGGUGCGAGCGUUGUCCGGAAUUAUUGGGCGUAAAGCGUGCGCAGGCGGUUUUGUAAGUCUGUCGUGAAAUCCCCGGGCUCAACCUGGGAAUGGCGAUGGAGACUGCAAGGCUAGAGUUUGGCAGAGGGGGGUAGAAUUCCACGUGUAGCAGUGAAAUGCGUAGAUAUGUGGAGGAACACCGAUGGCGAAGGCAGCCCCCUGGGUCAAAACUGACGCUCAUGCACGAAAGCGUGGGGGAGCAAACAGG
rnacentral:rRNA from 1 species